UUCCAUUCAGGAUUACUCUGCACGUUGUGAACCACGGGCUGCAUGAAGAGGAUUUUACUGACCUUCUUUGCCCUUUUAUCCGAAGCAGAUGCCAGUGCUGUUCCAAGUGCAUAGGAUUCUCUGUCCUUUGAUGUCAUUUUUCAAUGCUGGAAGCAGUGUGCUUGCUUUUGGCAGUCUUGAGUCUUUGCUGCCCUUCCAUUUCACAAACUGUGAUCAAUGGAGUCCUCCAUUCUGAUGUACUGCUACCUUUUGUUUUUACUAAAAAUGGGAAUUCAAUAGACCUAAAGUUCACCAGAGUAAUCUGGAAAAAAAAUAAUAAGGAGCUGGUGAGAUAUGAAUAUGAGAAAAUGGAAGUGGCCAAAAGGGGGGAGCUGUCUGAAGCGGGGCUGUUGCAUGGUAACGCCUCCCUCGUCCUUCUGCAGCUCCGUAUUGAAGAUGAAGGGGACUACGAAAGUGAAGUGAACUAUGCUUCGGAGCACUACAAGAAAAACUUAAGGCUCAAUGUUAUAGCUUCUCCAAAAGUCUCUGUGAAGUCUCUGGUGGUGAUAAAUGUGAUGAGCGUACUGGAGUGUCAUGUGGACAACUUCUAUCCAAGUGAGAUCUCCAUAGAGUGGCUUAAAGCUUCCCAUCCUCUUCCUUCUCAAGUUAAACCACAGCCGAAGCGCAAUCCUGAUGGCACCUUCAGCAUGGUGAGCCGUUAUCACUACACCCCGACUCAUGCAGAUAGUGGUGUGGCCUUCAGCUGCAGAGUGAAGCAGGAAUGUCAGGAGAGGCCACUGGAGGAGACCUUUUAUCUGCAAUUCCGCAAGCGAGCUUCUGUGAAGUUGACAUCCAUCAAUUUGCCGCAGAGUCAGAAGCUGAUCUCUUGUGUUGCUGAAGAUUUCUUUCCAGCAGAUGCCAAAGUGAUGUGGAAGAAAAAUGGACAUCCCAUCAACAGUACAGAACAAGGGAAGGAUGGCAACUUCAGAAGAAGAAUAUACCAUAAGCUAGGAGCUACCGAGAUGGAAACUGAGUACACGUGUGAAGUGAGUCAGGAGGGAUUCAAUAACUCACUGAGAGAGAACAGAUUCACACAGGAAGAUGUGUGUGGAUGUACAACGCAGACAAUUGUCCUGACAGUGAUUGGGGUCCUGUUUGCUGAAAUUGUCCUGGGGCUGUUGUGCUACUUUAUUUACGUAAAGAAGAACUUAAACUGCAAAGGUUUGACUAAAACUUCAAGUGGAUCCCCAGAACAGACGCCAUGUUUAACAUCAGGGAUAAGUAACAUAUCAUUCUGCUAAAAUCCAAGUUGAUCACUUUUGUUUAA